rnacentral:sRNA from 1 species
CGAGUUCCGCGCUCAAUGGAGACGUUUGACCCUACCGAGCUGCCCGAGCUGCUUAAACUUUAUUACCGGAGGCUCUUUCCCUACUCUCAGUACUAUCGCUGGCUCAACUACGGCGGAGUGAUAAAGAAUUACUUUCAACACCGUGAAUUUUCAUUCACAUUGAAAGAUGAUAUUUACAUUCGCUACCAAUCCUUCAACAACCAGAGUGAUCUGGAAAAGGAGAUGCAGAAAAUGAAUCCGUACAAGAUUGAUAUAGGCGCAGUAUAUUCCCACAGACCCAAUCAACACAAUACAGUGAAGCUGGGAGCUUUCCAGGCUCAGGAAAAAGAACUGGUAUUUGACAUUGACAUGACAGACUAUGACGAUGUGAGGAGAUGUUGUAGGUGAGCACUGUGUGUCCUGCUGUUAGGGUGGGUGAUAUCACUGACAAUGAGUAAUGAUGACUCUGCUCUAGUUCUGCAGACAUAUGUCCUAAGUGCUGGACCCUCAUGACAAUGGCCAUACGCAUCAUUGACAGAGCAUUGAAGGGCAAGACUUUGGAUUUAAGCAUCGUCUCUGGGUAUAUUCUGGAAGGAGAGGUGUUCAUUGUUGGGUCUGUGAUGAAUCAGUUAGAAAAUUGUCUUCUGCAGUACGUUCUGGGAUAGUUGAAUAUUUGAGCCUUGUAAAGGGUGGUCAAGACGUUAAAAAGAAAGUUCACCUAAGUGAAAAAAUUCACCCUUUUAUCAGGUCUGUUGGAAAAGUCUCCAUGCACUUUAAGGUGUCUGAUUUACCGGCAUGUGCCUUUAGAGUUACCUUGCUAUCAAUUUUCACUGCUGGGUAGCAUUUUAUAAUAAUAAUAGCUGUGGUUAAUUGAGUGCCUGUUUUAUGCUGCAGUAUUCCUAAAAGGUGCUUUACAGAUGUCCUCAUUGCUCUUCACAAAAACCCCACAAGAGACUUGAUGGUAUCUCCAUUUAUAGAUAAGAAAAAUGAGUUUUAGAGAGAUUUUAUAAUGAGCUUGGCAUCACACGACAAGUUAGUUGUUAAAUUUAGGAUUCAUGCCCUGGUCUGCCUGACUCCAAAGCCCACACCAGUGCUUUUUCCACUGAAUUCACUACUUCUCUAGGAUAGUGGAAAAAGCCUUAUGUUAGGAGUAAAAAUUCUUAUUCUGCCACUUACUAUGAUUUUGAUAAAAUAUUGCUGCCUCCAUUUCCUUAUCUCUACGAUGGGGAGAACAACAUGCACUCUACCUGUCUCACAGUUGUAUCAAUGAUUAAGUGAAAGAGUAAA